rnacentral:misc_RNA from 1 species
UUUCUAUCUUUAGAAGGCUGGCUUUGACUCUGAGCUCUACUACUAGAUGAAGAUUCAAUGCGAUGUUUGUAGCAAAGACGAGGCGUCCGUGUUCUGCACCGCCGACGAGGCUGCCCUCUGCGACGCCUGUGACCACUGCGUCCACCACGCCAACAAGCUCGCCUCCAAGCAUAGACGUUUUUCUCUUCUUCAUCCUUCUUCUGGAAAUUUCCCUCUCUGUGAUGUCUGCCAGGA